AACGCACCUUGCGCUCUCUGGUAUUCCGGAGAGCAUGCCUGUUUGAGUGUCAUGGAAUUCAUCAAUCUUUAAUUAUUUAUAAUUAAAGACUUGGAUUUGGAGGUUUAUGCUGGCUUUAUUAUAACCAGCUCCUCUAAAAUGUAUUAGCGCAAUUUAUAAUAUUUAAAUCGCCUUGGUGUGAUAAUUAUUUCAUCUCUACCAUUGGCUUUUUAAUUAUUCUUGUGCUUCUAAUCAUCCAUUUAAUUUGGAUAAUAAAUUGACUCUUGACCUCAAAUCAGGUAGGACUACCCGCUGAACUUAA
rnacentral:misc_RNA from 1 species